rnacentral:rRNA from 1 species
UAAUUUUAUUAUUAUUAUUAUUUUAAAGUUUAUUAUUAAUUAUUAAAAAUAAUUUUUAUUUUUAUUAUAUUUAUUGAAAAAAUAAGUUUUAUAAUAGUUGAUUAGUACUGAGAAAGAAAUAUAUAAAUUUUAUUAAAGAAAAAUUAAAUUUUUGUACCUUGGGUAUCAGGGUUUAUUAAAAAUUAUUUAAUUAUUUAAAUUUCUCGAAUUUAAGAGAGCUAUAAGUUUAUUUUUUUUAUUGUUGAAUAAAUAUUAUUCAUAGGUUUAUAGUUGUGAAAUGCUAUUCGUUCUUAAAUAUAUCUAGUUUUUAAAGAAAAAAAUAUUAAUUUAAUUUUUAUUUUUUAUAAAAUUAAUUAAUUAAUUUUAUAAUAGUAAGAUUUUAUAAGUUUGGGGAUGAGCUUGAAUUUAAAUUUAUAUAAUUGUAUUUAAAUCUUAUUUAAUAAAUAGAAUUAGAAGUUUUUAUUUUUUAUUGUGUUUUAUAACUAAUUUAUGCUUUAUUUUAAUUUUUAUAUAAUUUAUAUUUUAUAUUUAAAAGUGUAUUUUAAUUUUUAAAAUAUAGUAAUAAUGAUAAAAUUAGUAUAAUAAAAUUGUAUUUAUAUAAUAAAUUUUAAAGAUUAUUUAAAGGAACUCGGCAAAUAUAAUUUUCACCUGUUUAUUAAAAACAUGGCUUUUUGAGUAUAAUUUAAGGUCUGACCUGCCCAAUGAUUAAUUUUAAAUGGCCGCGGUAAUUUGACCGUGCAAAGGUAGCAUAAUCAUUAGUUUUUUAAUUGAAAGCUUGUAUGAAAGGUUGAAUGAAAAAUUAUCUGUCUCUAAAUAAAAUUUUAGAAUUUUAUUUUUAAGUAAAAAAGCUUAAAUAUAUAUAGAAGACGAGAAGACCCUAUAGAGUUUUAUAUAUUUAUUAAUUAAUAAAUUUUAGUAUUAAAAGUUUUAAUUUAUAAUAGUAUUUAGUUGGGGUGAUUGAAAAAUUAGUUUAACUUUUUUUGUAGCUUUACAUUAAUAUAUGAAAAAUUGAUCCUUAUUUAAAGAUUAGAAGAUUAAAUUACCUUAGGGAUAACAGCGUUAUUUUUUUUUAGAGUUCUUAUUGAAAAAAAAGAUUGCGACCUCGAUGUUGGAUUAAAAUAUAAGUUUGGUGUAGAAGCUAGAUGGAUUGGGUCUGUUCGACCUUUAAAAUUUUACAUGAUCUGAGUUUAGACCGGCGUGAGCCAGGUUGGUUUCUAUCUCUAUAAAAAGUAAUAUUUUAGUACGAAAGGACCAAAUAUUAAUUUUAUAAAAUUAAUUUUAGAAUAGUAUUA